rnacentral:ncRNA from 1 species
UCAUUUUUUCAAGCGCCAGAACUAGGCCCUGGGACGUGCGGGGGCUUAGUUGACGAGGUGGAGGUUUAUCGAGGUGUUCGGCGGAUGCCUCCCGGCUGUGCACACGCAGUCGAGAGCCAUCUUCCCAAAACAUUAAGGCGACUUAAUGGACAAAGGAAGAUGGAAGGUGUGCG